AGCCCUCUGUGCCAGGCUGCUUACACAGAUUUUCCAGCAUCUUGAUGCAGAAAGAAAAUCUGUGACUGACUAGAGACAUAAUUUGUCAUUCUGUCUGGAAGUAGAAUGUCUCCUUUUGGUCUUCCAUAGCUCAUCGCAGUUCUAGACUCCGCUGAAUCAGAAUCUUCUCCUUUCAAGGCCGAAUCUCAAGACCAUCGAAAGCACCUGAUAUGACAUCACCAACACCUGCCUCAAAAGUGUCCCGAUAUUCUGUGUGAACUGCCAUUUGGUAUCUUCGACUUGGAAUUUUGAGUCAAUCUGCUGAACCAGGCUCCAGGAUGGGGAUAGCAUUUUUUGCUCGACUAUUUUAUCCUAUACUGGAAGAAAUUUAUGAAGAAGUCAAUUUAAGGGAGUAAAAAACCAUUCCCGGAAGAGUAAGAGACAGAGAGAAGGCAGCAGAGACUAAAAUUCAUGGUUGCAUGGAGUAGAUGGAAAAAAUAUGUAACACUAAGAAGAAAUGAUUGUUUGACCACAAGGAACCUUGAAUGUUUGGAGCAUGAGCUGGUGUUGUUAAUGGAUGACUAAUGAAGGCACAUGAUGGAAACAACUUGCCAGGAAGCAAACAUUUUUCCAAGAAGAAGCUUCCUGUAAUAACUCCUCUCCUACCUUCUACUCAGACUCUGCAUUUAGAAAUACACUGACACAUAGCAUUUAGCCUUGAUAGGUGAACUGCAGAUUUAAUAUGCUAAUAAAUUUCUCAGUGAAUUAAA